rnacentral:rRNA from 1 species
UACGUAGGGUGCGAGCGUUGUCCGGAAUUAUUGGGCGUAAAGAGCUCGUAGGCGGUUUGUUGCGUCGGCCGUGAAAACUCAGGGCUUAACUCUGAGCCUGCGGUCGAUACGGGCAGACUUGAGUUCGGUAGGGGAGACUGGAAUUCCUGGUGUAGCGGUGAAAUGCGCAGAUAUCAGGAGGAACACCGGUGGCGAAGGCGGGUCUCUGGGCCGAUACUGACGCUGAGGAG